rnacentral:tRNA from 2 species
GCGCCCGUAGCUCAGUUGGAUAGAGCGACGGUCUCCGAAGCCGUAGGUCGGAGGUUCGAACCCUCUCGGGCGCGCCA